GACGAACGCUGGCGGCGUGCCUAAUACAUGCAAGUAGAACGCUGAAGGAGGAGCUUGCUUCUCUGGAUGAGUUGCGAACGGGUGAGUAACGCGUAGGUAACCUGCCUGAUAGCGGGGGAUAACUAUUGGAAACGAUAGCUAAUACCGCAUAAGAGUAGAUGUUGCAUGACAUUUGCUUAAAAGGUGCAAUUGCAUCACUACCAGAUGGACCUGCGUUGUAUUAGCUAGUUGGUGGGGUAACGGCUCACCAAGGCGACGAUACAUAGCCGACCUGAGAGGGUGAUCGGCCACACUGGGACUGAGACACGGCCCAGACUCCUACGGGAGGCAGCAGUAGGGAAUCUUCGGCAAUGGACGGAAGUCUGACCGAGCAACGCCGCGUGAGUGAAGAAGGUUUUCGGAUCGUAAAGCUCUGUUGUAAGAGAAGAACGAGUGUGAGAGUGGAAAGUUCACACUGUGACGGUAUCUUACCAGAAAGGGACGGCUAACUACGUG
rnacentral:rRNA from 1 species